rnacentral:rRNA from 1 species
AGGGCAUACGGUGGAUGCCUUGGCACCAAAAGGCGAUGAAGGACGUGGUUACCUGCGAUAAGCGUCGGCGAGGUGGAAGCAACCUUUGACCCGGCGAUUUCCGAAUGGGGCAACCCAUCCCGCGUCAUGGCGGGAUACUCCAUGCUGAAUCCAUAGGCAUGGUUGAGCCAACUGGGAGAAGUGAAACAUCUCAGUAACCCAAGGAAGAGAAAACAAAAGUGAUUUCCUGAGUAGCGGCGAGCGAAAUGGAAAUAGCCUAAACCGACUUACACGUUCAAGGAGAUGACCGUUGUGUAAGCGGUGUUGUGGGACUCUGUGAACGAAUCAUCGAUAGUUCAAGGAGUUACAAAUCAUUUUGUUAGCGGAAGUUUCUGGAAAGCUACACCAUAGAGGGUGAUAGUCCCGUACGUAAAAACGAAAUGACUCCUAAGAGGAUCCCAAGUACCACGGAGCAAGUGGAAGUCUGUGGGAAUCUGCCAGAACCAUCUGGUAAGGCUAAAUACUCUUUGGUGACCGAUAGUGAACAAGUACCGUGAGGGAAAGGCGAAAAGCACCCUUAAGAAGGGAGUGAAAUAGAACCUGAAACCGUAUGCUUACAAACGGUUGGAGUUUUGUUUUUUUGCUUGCAAGAAAACAGAAUGACAGCGUGCCUUUUGCUUAAUGAGCCUACGAGUUGCUCAUACGUUGCAAGGUUAAUGGACUCAGUCCAGUAGCCGUAGCGAAAGCAAGUCCUAACUGGGCGAUUCAGUAACGUAUGGCAGACGCGAAACCGGGUGAUCUACCCUUGGUCAGGAUGAAGUGAGGGUAACACCUCAUGGAGGUCCGAACCGGUGCGGGUUGAAAACCGCUCGGAUGAACUGAGGGUAGGAGCGAAAGACCAAUCAAACUCGGAGAUAGCUCGUACUCCCCGAAAUAGCUUUAGGGCUAGCCUCGUGUUAUAAUAUUGUGCAGGUAGAGCACUGAUUGGGCUAGGGUCGUCACAACGAUACCAAACCCAGACAAACUCCGAAUUGCGCUAAUAUGUUUCACGGGAGUCAGGCGACGAGGGAUAAGCUUCGACGCCGAGAGGGGAAUAACCCAGACCGCCAGCUAAGGUCCCUAAUUUCAGAUUAACAGAGAAAGGAUGUUAAGUUGCUCAGACAACUAGGAUGUUGGCUUAGAAGCAGCCAUUCAUUUAAAGAGUGCGUAAUAGCUCACUAGUCAAGCGACUUAGCGCCGACAAUACUCGGGACUUAAAUCUGAUACCGAAGCUGCGGAUUCGCCUUUGGCGAAUGGUAGGGGAGCAUUCCAUCAACAGCGAAGGUGUGGUGUGAGCCAUGCUGGAGUUGAUGGAAACGAAGAUGUAGGCAUAAGUAACGAUAAUUCCGAUGAGAAAUCGGAACACCGAAAAUCUAAGGUUUCCUGAGCAACGUUAAUCGUCUCAGGGUUAGUCGGAUCCUAAGCUGAGGCCGAAAGGCGUAGGUGAUGGAAAACAGGUUGAAUAUUCCUGUACCACUGUAGAGUCGUUUGACUGUAAGGGGUGACGCAGAAGUGAAAGUCGGGCCAGCUGUUGGCUUAGCUGGUUUAAGUCUGUAGGCGUCUCGUGUAGGCAAAUCCGCACGGGAGUUAUCGCUGAGAGAUGAAUAGGGUGCUCGCAAGGGCCACAACUCGACCUAAUCAUGCUGCCAAGAAAAACCUCGUAUGGGAGACUUUACGGUGUCCGUACCGCAAACCGACACAGGUAGAUGGGUAGAAUAUACUAAGGUGCUCGAGUGAGCCGUGGUUAAGGAACUCGGCAAAUUAGCCCCGUAACCUCGGAAGAAGGGGCGCUCUGAGUAUGUUGCUAUGUACAAUGGCUGCAGAAAAGAGCCGCAGUGAAAUGGGCCAAGCGACUGUUUAUCAAAAACACAUGUCUAUGCUAAGCCGUGAAGGCGAUGUAUAUAGACUGACACCUGCCCGGUGCCGGAAGGUUAAGGAAGUGGGUCAUUCGCCGUAAGGCGGAGAAGCUUGCGACUGAAGCCCCGGUAAACGGCGGCCGUAACUAUAACGGUCCUAAGGUAGCGAAAUUCCUUGUCGGGUAAGUUCCGACCUGCACGAAUGGUGUAACGAUUUGGUCACUGUCUCAACCACGGGCUCGGUGAAAUUGUGGUACCGGUGAAGACGCCGGUUACCCGCACAUGGACGGAAAGACCCCGUGCACCUUUACUGCACCCUAGCAUUGGGUUUGGUCAUAGCAUGUGUAGAAUAGGUGGGAGACUGUGAAGCCGGGGCGCUAGCUUCGGUGGAGUCGUCAGUGAAAUACCACCCUUGGUGUGAUUGAAUUCUAACCUAUUGCCGUGAAUCCGGCAAGGGGACAGUGUUAGGCGGGUAGUUUGACUGGGGCGGUCGCCUCCUAAAAUGUAACGGAGGCUCUCAAAGGUUCCCUCAGCAUGGUCGGUAAUCAUGCGUUGAGUGUAAAGGCAUAAGGGAGCUUAACUGUGAGACAUACAAGUCGAGCAGAUGCGAAAGCAGGACUUAGUGAUCCGUUGGUCCCGAGUGGAAGGGCCAACGCUCAAAGGAUAAAAGGUACGCCGGGGAUAACAGGCUGAUCUUGCCCAAGAGUUCAUAUCGACGGCAAGGUUUGG